AUUGAACGCUGGCGGCAGGCCUAACACAUGCAAGUCGAGCGAGCGGCGGACGGGUGAUUAAUGUCUGGGAAACUGCCUGAUGGAGGGGUAUAACUACUGGAAACGGUAGCUAAUACCGCAUACCAUCAGAUGUGCCCAGAUGGGUUUGGCUAGUCGGUGGGGUAAUGGCUCACCUAGGCGCCGAUCCCUAGCUGGUCUGAGAGGAUGACCAGCCAAACUGGGACUGAGACACGGCCCAGACUCCUACGGGAGGCAGCAGUGGGGAAUAUUGCACAAUGGGCGCAAGCCUGAUGCAGCCAUGCCGCGUGUGUGAAGAAGGCCUUCGGGUUGUAAAGCACUUUCAGCGGGGAGGCGUUACUCGCAGAAGAAGCACCGGCUAACUCCGUGCCAGCAGCCGCGGUAAUAC
rnacentral:rRNA from 1 species